UACGAAGGGGGCCAGCGUCGUUCGGAAUCACUGGGCGUAAAGCGCACGUAGGCGGCUCUUUAAGUCAGAGGUGAAAUCCCAAGGCUCAACCUUGGAACUGCCUUUGAUACUGGGGAUCUUGAGUCCGGGAGAGGUGAGUGGAACUGCGAGUGUAGAGGUGAAAUUCGUAGAUAUUCGCAAGAACACCAGUGGCGAAGGCGGCUCACUGGCCCGGUACUGACGCUGAGGUGCGAAAGCGUGGGGAGCAAACAGG
rnacentral:rRNA from 1 species